GUGGAUCGAAUGAUUUUGUGGAUAUGGUAGGGGUUAUGGUGUAGCUGGGCCUGCAUUCUUUAGAUUUCUACUGGCUGUUAGGACAUCAAAUUUCUCCAAAUUCCCUGGCCCAUAAUUGCGUGACUUGGCACUUGGCAGCAACUAUUUCAAUUAUUACCUCGUUUCCAAUUCUUUCUUGGCCCUAUUGAAUUGCUUUAUCUCUAUGAGAGCCACAUGAAGGAAUGAGGGAUACAUUACAGAUGGCUUGUCUGGCCACCAAGCCGGCCGGCCAGUUACCGGUAAGUUUAAUAUAGAAGAAGGAGCUGAAGCCGACAGCAUUUGCUUAAAAAAUCUUUAGGGACUCAAAAGCGACAUGGCUCCUGCAUACCAAAGAUCGGUUUAAUUGGAGCUGUUGCCUAGUUUAGAAGUGGCUGAUAGACAGCCCACUGCAGGUGUUAUUCAAUUACGAGGAAUUUUGAGACAGCCCACUGCCCUCAUCCAGCAAGAAAUGCUUCAAUCUACCGUCUACGUUCUUCUGAAUGUUAUUCUUCUUCUAUUUUUGUUAUAUAUGCCAGGAAUUUUGUGCUGGGUAUGCUUUGUUUAUUAUUUUCAGGUAGGAGGUAAGUAUGAAAAGGAAGAAGAGGCUUCUUGACUGAUGAAGAUAGUGCAAAAAGACGGGGACCAAUACCAUAACUAAGCCUCCCAUUUCCUCAAAGUGUUGCGGUCAAAGAUGUUGGCAUUUUCAGUAAUCAGGAGGACAGAAUUUCUACAGAUAUUAAAGCGUAACAUGGACUUGAGGGCAAAGCACAGUAUUUAGUAUGUGGACUUCCCACCAACCUAGCAGGCUCACAAGUUUUCCCCAAGUAUGGAUCCUUCAUGCCUUGCUGCUUCAAUGUUUCAUGAUCACAGUUGAAAAUACGAUCAAGUUUUUUUUCUUAAAAAAAAACAAAUUACCAAAGUGAUAAAUGCCAUCCCUCCUAGCAUUGCAUCCUGCAGUCGAUCUACCUUCUGUGUUUCUUCACUAAUUUAUGUAUGAUCUGUGAGUGAAGACGAGUUAUAGCAAGCCAAUGCAUGUUUCAUUCUAUGUGCAGAUAAAAUUAUUCCCUUAAUGCUCACAGCUAGAAACUAAUUAUAGUGAGCACUGACAGCCACAGGGGUCAAUUCACUGACACCCCUCUAGAAGGAGGAAUUUUUUUUCCAUGGAUAUCACUUUCAUUGAUACAUUCAACAGGUUAAUUGUAGCAGAAAAAGUGAACUUCAAGGUCCGUUUUCUGUCACACUGGCAGCGCUUUUGUGGUUUUCUUUCUCUCCAUUCUCCAUUUCCCACUUCAGUAGAAUUCCAAUCCAUCGAUCACUUCAUGUGAGCAUGCCGUCCUUCCUAUGGAGUAGACGAGCAAUGUUUGCUAGACUGAUUGAACAAAUA
rnacentral:lncRNA from 1 species